AAGAGGGGAUGAAGGACAGGAAGGAGAAAAGUACAAGGAGAACGUAAGUGCAAUGAGCAAAGGAGGGAAGACAAAGAUUUUAAAAGAGGGAAAGUGAACUUUACUAAUACUUUUUGUCUAGAAUUACAGCAGUCUGAUCUGAUUAUUAUUAUGUAGAAUAUGAAGGUAUCUUUUUAAAAUAUUAAAUUGGCAUUUUAUUAUUGUGCUUUGCAACAAAUGCAUUGAUGUAAAUAACCUAUUUUUCACAUACUAAGCUUGAAUAAUGAUUGAAGAACCUUGAAUAUGGAUUGUUUUUUAAAUUAUGUCAGGGUUUUAAAUUAUAAAGCAAUAUGCAGAUUAAUUUUAUGACAUCAUGCACCACAUUAUGAACUGUUUAUUCUGUCGCCUCUCGAUCAGUAUUAGCCGAAACCUUUUCAUUAAUUAAAGUGAAAGUUUGUCUGUUGGAUCCAAACACAUGGGCCAGCCUUCAAUUGUCAUGUACAUCUUUGGUUCAAUUAUUGUCAGAUAUUUAAAAAACUAAUCACUCCCUUUAUUAGUCCAUCAAUUAACUGGUUUAGCAAACUUGUUGAACAAGCGUGAUUACUGCCACGCCUGUAGAAUAAAAAAAAAAAAAAACAUCUAAAUAGAAACUGCAUGAAGUCAUUUAAUGGAGCCCAAUAAGUAAGCUCAAGCUAAAAAUAAUAUUGAUAAAAAACUGAUUAGAAGUUAAGUCAUCAACAUCCAUUAGCCUACAAUGGCUGACAAAGCCAUUUCAAAUGUAUUGAAACUCCAUUAUCUGCAAAUGGAAAAAAUAUGGAACAGUGUAACAAAAUUACUCCAGAAGUGAAUCAAAGGCUCUUCAAUGUAAAGAACCAAAGACAGCAUCUGAAUCAACAAAGAGCUCCUUUCAACCAAUGUUCAUUAUUCAGCAAUAAGAAACACACCGGACAAAAAUGACAUCAAUGGAGGAAUUCCAAGGCAAAAACCUCUUCUCAUCAAAAACAUAAAAAGGACAUUAGCCAAAAUAUAACAAACAUUUUUGGGGACCACGAAGACUUUAGAGAAAUUAUCCUGUGGAUUGAUAAAACAAACUAGGAACCUUUUCUGGAAAAUAUGAGUCCAGUUUCUAAAAACUAACAGAAUUUCAACGUAAAAGGAAAAUAUAUCAGCAGUAAACUAUUGUAGUGAUAGCGAUAGCCAAUGCCUGUUUUGCUGCUUCAGGGCUUAGUUGAUGGAAUCAUGAAUUCUGCUGUCAACCAGAAAAUCCUGAAGGAGAAAGGCUGGUAAUUGGCUUGUGACCUUAAGCUCAAGCUUACUUAGGUUGUGCAGCAAAGGUGCACCACUGAAUAGCUGCAAAAGAAUGAGAACAAAAUGAAGAUUGGACCUUAAUCCAAUUGAGACGUUGCGGUAUGGCCUGCAAAAGGCUAGGAAUAGGUGCUUAAAUUAUAUAAUUCUAUGAAAAUUGCAUUUUGUAUUUAGCCUAAUUGGAAAAGCACCUUGCAGAAUAGCAGGAGUGCCAGAAAAAUGCGUAAUGAUGUAAGGUGCUGUGUUUCCAUGUUGCUCCAUCUCUCUUUUUCUCCACACCGGCCACAAUGUUUAGGUAACCAAUGGAGACCACUGAUUGGUAACUGCAUCACCAGGGGCAACAGCAAAUGUGAUGUGUGGCCCGACACGGGCACCAUUUCUUUUCUGUCCACAUUUACACACAAAUACAUGUAAAGUAAAAAAAAAAAACAACACACACACACACACUUGCAGAAAUUCACAAGCUGUCCUGCAUAUUCAUCACUUCAACACUUUGCAUUCAGCACAAGCACAGAGGACUAACACCUUAACCUGUGAACGUUAAAGAUUAGAGGAUUUCAGCAGAAGCAGCAAAAACUGACGUGAUUUUUUAUACUCUUAGUCUUAAUCUUCUGAUCCUUUUAUUUUACACUGAGGAGCUUCUCCAGCCGGUUCACUAACAGAUUUUGUCCAUUCAAAGCUGCAAAUAGAACGUAAAAUAUCCUUAACUUUAUGUCAAACUAUUUAUGGUUUCAGGUCAAAGGUGCUAACACGGCUUAUGUGAUAGCUUUGUGAUAUGAAAAUUUCAAUUUUGGUUGUUUUUAUUUUGCAAAGCAAUCCCUUCAGCUCCAAUUCAAGUCAAAGUUUUGGAUUAGACCCCUUCCUCUGGAGACCACUUUGUCUUGUAGUGAUUAAACUCCGCUGAGAAACAUUUUCUUUCUGUAAAUCUUAAGAUUUUCAUCAGCAGCUGCUUGGCAAAGACACUCUAGUUCCUGAUAUCCAACAUGCAUAACUGUAAAACUGGGUUCAACUUGUUUUAAGGCCAUGCUCCGCUGAUUAACAUUUUCAUCUGGAUUCGUAGUCCGGGCAUGUUUGGCAAAAAUGAAUCCAAGGACAAGUGGAAUGAGGAACCCAGAAUGAAUUGUCUUUCUGCUGGCUCCCUUUGCUUUCUGUGGAGCUUCAAUGUAAAAUUCAUGUCAGAGAUGUUUGUUUUUCAAAGUGAGUCAAUGAGGAAAAAGAAUUAAUCCAUCUCUAACAAAAAGCAUCCCCUGAGAUGAAAAGAGAUUUAACAAAGCCUAAUAGCUGCCAUAAGUCGCCUCUGUGGGGGUUUGUUCCUCACAUUCACAUGUGUACUAAUGGAAUCUCAGAAAGAUGUGGGGAAUAGUUUAUAAUAGUGCAGUAAACAUUAAAGUCAUAUUUUAUUAUGGCGGUGUUACACUGUAGCAUUAAAUUAAAGAUACACUGUUAAAAACUGAUUUAUUUAAUAAUUAAAAGACGUUUUCUAUGCUUUUUCCAAAGGAUCUGUUAGACAAACCAGGCAGAAAUUCAUCAAUUAUCAAUUCUGUCGUCCUCUCAAACAAUCAAAACUGUCAGUGCAGUUCAUUGUCUGAGAUCCAUAAAUGUCAGAAGCACAUUUCGUGGCAAUCCAUCCAAUAACUUCUGUCUGAACUAGAGUCAUCACAUCCCCACUGGAAGUCUGCUUUAUAUUAGACUUUAAUAUUAAAAAUCCCACAGGCAGCGGAAUGAGCCUUGAAUUCCUAAAAUCUCUGCUGUUGGUCUAGUAGUCAAAGUGUCCUUGGUAAUAAUCAAUUACCCUGUUAACGUCUGAUGAUAAAUUAUUGCCUUUCAGUGCUACAGAGCAGAAAACUGCAGCCAUAAGCCUUGAAAUUAUUCUGAUAAUUCAAAUCCAACACAGUUCAAGGUCAGUGUGCUGUUUUUGAAGAAAUUAACAAGCAUCUGUGAGAGAGGGAGAGGUUUCAACCAUGAUUUCUAAUCAUAAGGAGAUAUCUGAAUUCAACAGUCUUUACCCACACCAAGGACAUCUGACUCAACACAGUGUUACGCUAUUAGAGUAAGUCCUGUGUCAUGACUGCUUUGCAAAUGUGUGUAAGUACAUUCUUCACACAGACUCCCUCAAGCAAAUAGUUGAACUCCACUUUGCAGCAAUGCUAACAGUGUCUUUUCUUAAGUCAAUGAGGGGGAAGAAAAAGCCUCCGUGUGCAAAACUUGCUUUCAUUCAAAUUCAGCAGCAUUGCAGCUGCCCAGUAACAUUUCAGCUCACCAUGCAAUCACGACAUUACACUGUUCAUUUGGGACUCCGGUUAACCACAGUAAGAGCACUGCAGGACAGUGCUCUUACUGUUAUUGUUGAAUGAUGUCCAUCAUUCAACAAUAACAAUAAGAUCGGGCAAAAACUGCUGACCAGAAAAAAAAAAAAGAAAACUAGAAUACCCAGAAAAAUAUUCUUUAGAAAAACAGCUUCCUGAUACCCAAGUAUUUUGGGAAAAUUUUCUGUAGACGGAUAAAACAACAAAUCAACCUUUUUGAAAGAUGUGAGGCUGUUUUGCAGUUAAAAGACCUGGACAACUUUCUAUAAAUGGUGAAGGCUGAAUUCUGCUUUCUAUCAGAAAAUCUGAGAGGAGACUGUCCAGCCUUGUGACCUUGUGCCCACACUUGGGUUAUGCAAGCAAGACAAAGCACACCAACCAGUGCAUCUCUGAAUGGCAUGGUUAAAUUCAAUGUGGAUGUUGUGGUAUUUAUGCCCAAGGAGACUGAUAUGGUCUUGAUAAUCUUGAUGCGGUCCAAAAUGAAAAUGAGUUUGACACCCCUGCUGUAGACUAAAUGCCGGCACAGGUGUCGUUGGCACAGAGAGAGUUCUUACUGUUCAGCUCUGAGUAUUUGGUCGUUUCUGACUUUCUUGCAGCUCAUGAUGGUUGCCAUUUGCCAGUGGGAUGCCAAUGUUAGGUAGCUGUCUUCUCAUGCAUACUGGGCAUUUAAAAAACUUUAAAUAUUAAACAUUUUCUUUUAGAUCUAAUUAAAACAAAUGUAAACACACUAAACCGAUGAAGAGGAUCUUAUAAUUUUCUGAUGGACUACAGCUACAUCAAAAAAAAAAAAAGUAAGUCCCUCCUCACCUUUGUGUCAUUUUAUUGUGAAUUUAUUCUUGGUCAUAAACAUUCACAAUUAAUUGGAUUUUCAGUAGAACCACAUGAACCACCAUCUGAUCUUACUCAUACUACGCCUUUCCUUCCAAGUUUCCUCAAAGCAUUUAAAAGCCAAUGUGACUCCAGUAGGACAUAAUCAUGCUUUAGCUCAUGACCAGCUAAAUAAAAAAAACAAAGUUAAGCUCAGGCUCUCGCACAGGUGAUGCAGAUAUGUGAAGCUUUUGCUAGCAAAUCUCAUUAUUGUGAUAAACAGAUUUUUAACUGUAUCUGAUGCAAAUAUCUUGGCCAUCCAGACCAGACAUCUGUGUGAAAAUGUUUGUUAAUCAUCAAUAUAGGAUUGUGUAAAAUAUGAUCCAUUUCAAGGUAAAAGAGAAAAUGAAGUGGUCAAUCCUUUUAUUUUACUGACGAAGCACACACACGACGUCAGUGGUGGCAGUAAGGAUGUUGAUCUUGAAUCGUUAUUUUUUAUGUUUCCAAUUUGUAUCAUGUUGCUAUUUUUCACAUAAUAAUGUCUUUGAGCCUGUUUGCACUACAUCUAUGCUAUCAGUCAGUCUCUAGUGUUUUGUUUGCCCACACUUGAUCCUCAGCCUUGUCUGGGUCUGAAUUAUGUCUCUGAUCGCCCCCGUUUCACUCUGUCAAAUCCCCACAACACCUGCUGGCCUUUUUCUGUCUGCAGUUCUAUAAAUUACACACGGGAGAAAUGUUUGUGGAAGUAAACGACUUGAAGGCCGCUUUCAGAUCAGUCCUCGAGACAAAUGGCCCUCGAUCAAAUGGUUUUAUUUUCCUGCUCCUGAAGCCACUAGAAUGCCAACAGUGAAGCAACAAUUUAAACAUGUAUAGUGUUUCAGUGGUUCUCUAAUUUCAGGAGGUUUAAAUGGAAGGAAGGAGACAGAAUUCAGUCAUUGAUCAAAGGUCAUUUCAGAAGUUUAAAAAUAUUUAUACAUAUUUGUACCUUUUUCUGUCACAUUUUGUCAUCUUACAACCAGCAGUAUAUUUAUAUACUAUAUUGUAUAUUUUCACAAUCAAAGUGAUUAUGAAAAUAAAGAUAAAAUACUUAACGUAUCAAUUUAAAAAAGUGUGUCAUGUAUAUUAAUUUCAAUAUGAUACCCCUAAAUAAAAUCCAGUGCAAAGUUCUCUGCCCAGAUCAAGAUUUAACAUUUUGAUCUUCAUGCAAAAUGUGAAGUGUGGAGAAAAAUGUAAACUACACACUAUGAACAUAUUAAUAAUUGUAGCCCAGUUAAAAUCCUAAAUCUUGUUGAGAGCCCAAGUGAGCUUGAGCCAUUCUGCAAAGAGAAAGCACAAGACUUUCUGUCUUCAUGUACAAAGAGGAUGGCAAAAAAACUCAGAAAGACUUGCAGCUGUAUAAGAAUGUAUCUUUCUCUUUUCACUUUACAAUUAUGCUUAGUGCCAGAUUUUGUGCUGGUCUACCUAAAAAAUCCCCCAAAAUUAAGAAAAAUGUGUGGUUGUAAGGCAACAAAAGUUGUAAAAGUUCACAGAGUCUGAAUCCCUUGUAAAGCUCUGAAUGCAUUUUAGAGCUGAAUCGCUUACUCUGAAAGCAAUUUGUCAGAAAAAGCAGCAGUCAUUCUUGAAAAACACUGAUAUACAUGUUUCUGUUUGCUCCCCUCCCAGUGUCUUACUCCUCCUAGUCCUCCGUCUCUCUCCAGAGUGCACAGCUGAGAAGUGAUACAUGGCCCAGUAAUAGUCUGGGCCCAAGGGAGAGCAGCUCUGUGGCUUUGGUAAGAGGCUAUCAACAAAGACACACCUUCUCAACGAGUCAUGCACAGCCAGUCACGAGAACGCAGUCAUGCACUCAGGAGAGCACGCAGGUUUGAUUAAUACAGGUGUCUGCAGAGUGAGGCAAGUGCUAUCCACCCUUAGUCUUCUCCUUUUUUCACAUUUCCUCACUCAGACACAUUCAGUGACUCAGCAGUCUUAAGCUAAGUCCUAAUGCUGCUCUAAUGCUUUAAUUUAAUAUUUAAGAAAGUGUAAACACUGCAAACAUUUUGGCUCUUUAACGACUAAUCUUAUUAGAAAUAAAAUGCUGACAUAAAAUCUUUCAUUUGGUCAUUUUAUCUAUUUGAUAGUGAGCUGCUUAGUUGUAACAGUGUUUCAUCAGGACAGUUAUAUUACUGUUGCAGUAAAUGUCUGUGGUACAUUACAAUAUGAGGCCUGUUUCAUUUCAAUGAGGCACCAGAGGAAAACAACAAGAUUAAAUAAGAGAAAUAGGUCAAAUCUAUUAAGAAUUUGAAACUAUUUCAAGUCACUGAGGACUUCUGCAAAGUUUUAAUUGAAGCAUAGAAGUUGCUCAACACAAAAAAGAAAUCUGUCAUUCAGGAUAUCAAUGCAAAUCACAAUUAGAUCUCUCACAAUAAAAAACGUUGCCAAACGAUAUGUUGUCCACGUACUUAUUGCGUUAAAUGGUAUGGUUGUUUUGAGACCAUUUAAUAAUGGCAUGACAAUGCAAAUUUAUCCUGUUAAAAGACCAAUAAAUUUUACUUUUGUAAAAACAAAACUUAACAAAAUAUACAACAUAGCAACUUAAAACGAUAAAUGGAAAUAAAACCACACAAAAUCAAAACAAUGGAAUAUAAUGUCUCAAAAUUGCCCUUCAAAAAAUAUUAAUCAUCAGAAUGGAAGUUAUUGACACGAUUGAUCGUGCGAUUAACUGAUUUAUUAAUUUAUUGCUUACUGCAAGAGGCCUAAUCACAAUAAGCAAAAUCUGAGAUUUUUUUCAAAUCCCAAAUAUUUCAUUUUAGAUGUGAGUUUUAAUUUAUCUGUUUGUUAUGGCUAACUGUAGGAGCUGAUUUCUUCUGUCUGUGUAUCUAAUCAAGCAACUGUUUUUCUUUCUUUUCUCAAAGACGAUGACGGCAGCCACCCAGACAAAUCGAAGCAGCUCCUUCAUGAACAGCACUGACUCAGUGGCUCAGUGAUGGGUAAAAUAAAGUAAGGCUUUGGAAAAAAAACAUGGAUGAUGCUCGAGAGUGACGCCCAAAAAGAGUAUAUUUUGGAAAUAGGCUUUAUAAAGAAUGAACGUUCACCCUAGAGCUUAAAGAAGUGUCCUUUGUUGCCCAACGUAAAUUAAAGCAAAGACUGACAGCUGUCUUAAAUACUCUACCUUUCCCGAAUUGCUUCUUGCUAUUGUGGUAACAUGCAGCUCUAGUCUAGACCGACAAACUACCAACACUCUUUCUUUCAUAAAGGUCAUAGCACUUACUGAUGAUCAUGUACGGUAAUCACAUACUCUGAUUAGCAGCCUCUUGCUGCCACUUUCCUCUUAAAUCCUGUAGAAGUAGCAAAGGUGUCCUUAGUUUUUCACACUCAAGUUUCCCAUUUAAACUUUAUUGUUGCAAAAAUAAUUAAACUGAUCCAUCUAGUUUACUUUUAAUGCUUAUCUUUAAAUUUUUCUCUGGCCGUGUGGUUAGAAAGCCUGCCAUAGAAAUGUUGGAGUUGGGGAUAUAAUCCGUGCUCUUUAUGAUCAAUGAAAGAGAAGAUUUGAACUUCUUCCUUUUUAAAUCCAGCAUUAGUUGGUACAGGUAUUAUUUGAGCUAUUGAGGUGAUUAAAAAAAAAAAAAAACACUUAGCUGUAAUGGGUACUUUAACAGCUGCCCAAG